GCCUGUGGUCCAGUUAGCCCUCAUGGCGUUUGUCCUUCUGCUGUAGAGCACAGGACGGAGGAUGGACCCCAGCCGGUUCGUCCCCUGACUGCCCGGGAGGGCGGGGGCUGCAGGGAUCAGACACCUUCCGGCCUCGGUCCCUCCCAACCUCCCUCACCCCGUUCUGAGCACGGUGAGUCCUUCUUCGGCCUCAGCACCUUGUGGGGGCGGCGACCACUCUGGGAAGUCAGGGACAUACUGUGUGUGAGGUUGUGCAGCUGAGCUCCGAGUGCGUGCACGUGUGCAGCGGGUGUGCACGGGUGUGAGGCACGUGAUGUGGCACACGGCUUGUGUCCGGUGUGUGUUUUAAACCCCGUGUCCUUGCAGAGGUGCCACUGGGUGGACGGUAUGAGGGACGACCCAGGACGGUAGAGGACAUAGCGGUUUGGGGGUCAUGAUUUUGUGACCGUGGCACACUCCCAGAGGACGCCCUGCAGAGUGACACGGUCCCCAGGGGAGUGGCCUGUGCCCCAGGCAGAUGUGCUUCUGUCCUCAGUUGGGGGCCGGGGUGGGUGCUGGUCCGGACGUCCGUCUGCACCCGCAGUGUCCCUGAGACCCGGACGUGGCCCGUGUAGCGGGGGGCGGAGACCGACGGCCAGCCCGGGGCCAGGGCCGGGCAGAUCUGGGAAUACGAAGAGGUGCUCUUCCCUGCCCGUCUGAGAGGGGGUGGAGCCUUCUCCUGCCAGCUCUGGUUGGUUCUCAGGCCCUGGUCUUCCUGGUGGCCGUGAACCGGUCCCGCUUCUCUGCACACAGGUUCACAGUCUCUCUGUCCCCUCUUGUCCCGGUCUUCAGACAGAACGCUGCAGACUCGGCUGGCGUGGGGAGGCCCAUCGCCACGGCGAACCGCGCCCUCUGAGAGGUGCUGUGGCUUCCCGCGCGGGUCCCUGCAGCACCCGCCAGAGGUCAGCCUUGCUUUCCCUGCACGGCCCUUCCCUGCUCUGGUCCUUGCCCAGCCUUGCCCCACGUGGAAGCCGGUUAUCACCGCCUCCAACCGUCUCAUGCUUCGGCUCAUAGAAAACGAGGUUUGUUUCGCUUUCUCGAGGCAUAACGUACACACCACACAGCUCACCCACGUCGAGCACAACACUUGGUGCGUGCCGGUAAGUCGGUGGAGUUAGGCAACCCUCACCACGAGCCUCCCUGUGUCCCGACGGCCCGCUCCCCCAGGCGGCCAUGCUCUCGGUGCGCGCCGGUCCUCCUCUCUGGGCAUCUCACGCCCGCGCAGUCACGCCCCCCGCUGCCCUCCGCUCCUGACCUCUAUCACGGAACGUAACAUUUUUUAGGUUUAUCUGCGUGGUAGCGGUCGGUCCCUUUCAAACGUGGCGCAAUACCCCCCCCCCCCGCCCCCGCGAAAGAUAACCCUGAUUUAUCUCUUCAUCACCUGGCGGGCAGGUGCGUCCGUUCUGCCUUCUGGCCGAGCGCGCUGCCGUGCAUGGUCACGUGCACACCUGCCUGCGGUCGGAUCUUCUGGUAUCUCUGGGGCCCGUUCCCAGGGGUGAAAUUCCAGGGUGGGAUACCGUGUGCCACCUGACUUCAAGAGCCAGGCGCAAGGGCAGAGAGCACCCUGCUCGGGUGAGUGUCCCCCGGUCACUGCCACUCGCUGAGACACGUGGGCGUCUGUCAUGCGGCAGGCUUGCGAGGACCAGGCGCAGCGGUCAUGAGCUGGCUUGUCGGACGUCGUCAGCCGCCCUGUGGUUCCGGAAAGACCUUGCGAAGACCAGCGGGGCACCUCAGUGGGGGAGAGGAGGCAACUCUGGGCGCUCCACCUGCGUGGCCCGUGCAGGAAGCCCGGGGGGACUGCACAGAGCGGGGUGGCCCCUUCUCUUUCCAGAACUUCCCGAAGCUUUACCAACGACCAAGAACCUUUUUUUCUUUUAAAAAGUACAGCUUUCAUGUCAUCAGCUUCUACUUAUAACA